GUAGGGAAUAUUGGACAAUGGGCGAAAGCCUGAUCCAGCAAUGCCGCGUGAGUGAUGAAGGCCUUAGGGUUGUAAAGCUCUUUUACCAGGGAUGAUAAUGACAGUACCUGGAGAAUAAGCUCCGGCUAACUCCGUGCCAGCAGCCGCGGUAAUACGGAGGGAGCUAGCGUUGUUCGGAAUUACUGGGCGUAAAGCGCGCGUAGGCGGCGAUUUAAGUCAGAGGUGAAAGCCCGGGGCUCAACCCCGGAAUAGCCUUUGAGACUGGAUUGCUAGAAUCCUGGAGAGGUGAGUGGAAUUCCGAGUGUAGAGGUGAAAUUCGUAGAUAUUCGGAAGAACACCAGUGGCGAAGGCGGCUCACUGGACAGGUAUUGACGCUGAGGUGCGAAAGCGUGGGGAGCAAACAGGAUUAGAUACCCGUGUAGUCC
rnacentral:rRNA from 1 species